rnacentral:rRNA from 1 species
AGGCUUAAACUGCAGUCGAAGCCGCCCCAUACGGAGAGACAGACGGGUGAGUAAUCGUGGGAACGUGAAACUUUGGUUCGGAACAACACAGGGAAACUUGUGCUAAUACCGGAUCCGCCCUUACGGGGAAAGAUUUAUCGCCGAAAGAUCGGCCCGCGUCUGAUUAGCUAGUUGGUGAGGUAAUGGCUCACCAAGGCGACGAUCAGUAGCUGGUCUGAGAGGAUGAUCAGCCACAUUGGGACUGAGACACGGCCCAAACUCCUACGGGAGGCAGCAGUGGG